CGCUAGCGGCAGGCCUAAUACAUGCAAGUCGGACGGGAUCCAUCGGAGAGCUUGCUCGAAGAUGGUGAGAGUGGCGCACGGGUGCGUAACGCGUGAGCAACCUACCUCUAUCAGGGGGAUAGCCUCUCGAAAGAGAGAUUAACACCGCAUAAUAUAAUGUACCGGCAUCGGGAUAUUAUUAAAUAUUUAUAGGAUAGAGAUGGGCUCGCGUGACAUUAGCUAGUUGGUAGGGUAACGGCUUACCAAGGCGACGAUGUCUAGGGGCUCUGAGAGGAGAAUCCCCCACACUGGUACUGAGACACGGACCAGACUCCUACGGGAGGCAGCAGUAAGGAAUAUUGGUCAAUGGGCGGAAGCCUGAACCAGCCAUGCCGCGUGCAGGAUGACUGCCCUAUGGGUUGUAAACUGCUUUUGUCCAGGAAUAAACCUAGAUACGUGUAUCUAGCUGAAUGUACUGGAAGAAUAAGGAUCGGCUAACUCCGUGCCAGCAGCCGCGGUAAUACGGAGGAUCCGAGCGUUAUCCGGAUUUAUUGGGUUUAAAGGGUGCGUAGGCGGCCUAUUAAGUCAGGGGUGAAAUACGGUGGCUCAACCAUCGCAGUGCCUUUGAUACUGAUGGGCUUGAAUCCAUUUGAAGUGGGCGGAAUAAGACAAGUAGCGGUGAAAUGCAUAGAUAUGUCUUAGAACUCCGAUUGCGAAGGCAGCUCACUAAGCUGGUAUUGACGCUGAUGCACGAAAGCGUGGGGAUCGAACAGGAUUAGAUACCCUGGUAGUCCACGCCCUAAACGAUGAUAACUCGAUGUUGGCGAUAGACAGCCAGCGUCUUAGCGAAAGCGUUAAGUUAUCCACCUGG
rnacentral:rRNA from 1 species